rnacentral:lncRNA from 1 species
CGUAAAAAUUUACACUAAAUUGAAAUCCAAAUCACGACAAAGAGUUCCUCCAACAAACAUAAGCGUUUGUCAGCACCAAGGCGCAGAAAAAAGGGUGCCUUUCCUUUGCCUGGUGGGGCGCAUGGACAUUUUUGGGAAAAAUGUCCUGGAAGGCACCGGCUGAAGCCAUCAAGACGGCAGACACGCACCACUAGUGCAGUAGCCUGAUUGGCUCAAACACAACUGCUUCUUCUUCUGUGAAUUUUGUAUGGCGGUUGGCAACCAACGUUACGGUGCAUUACUGCCACUGGACUGGAGUGUAGACCAGAGACAGUGAAGGUAUAAAUUCUACCCAAUAAUCUCGUCUCCCUAAGGAAACAAAAUACAUAAUUAAAUACUACAUCCCAUGAAGAUUUCCCCAGCAGUUCACUUAAUCCUGGCUCUUCAAACCCAUUACUCCUCAAAUCUAAUAAAAGAUCAGUGGUGAAAAAUAAGUGGCAA